GGGGAUGUAGCUCAGUAGUAGAGCAUUUGCCUAGCAUGCAUGGAACUCUGGGUUUAAUCCCCAGUACUGCAA
rnacentral:tRNA from 1 species